rnacentral:rRNA from 1 species
AAGGUUAACCGAAUAGGGGAGCCGAAGGGAAACCGAGUCUUAACUGGGCGUUAAGUUGCAGGGUAUAGACCCGAAACCCGGUGAUCUAGCCAUGGGCAGGUUGAAGGUUGGGUAACACUAACUGGAGGACCGAACCGACUAAUGUUGAAAAAUUAGCGGAUGACUUGUGGCUGGGGGUGAAAGGCCAAUCAAACCGGGAGAUAGCUGGUUCUCCCCGAAAGCUAUUUAGGUAGCGCCUCGUGAAUUCAUCUCCGGGGGUAGAGCACUGUUUCGGCAAGGGGGUCAUCCCGACUUACCAACCCGAUGCAAACUGCGAAUACCGGAGAAUGUUAUCACGGGAGACACACGGCGGGUGCUAACGUCCGUCGUGAAGAGGGAAACAACCCAGACCGCCAGCUAAGGUCCCAAAGUCAUGGUUAAGUGGGAAACGAUGUGGGAAGGCCCAGACAGCCAGGAUGUUGGCUUAGAAGCAGCCAUCAUUUAAAGAAAGCGUAAUAGCUCACUGGUCGAGUCGGCCUGCGCGGAAGAUGUAACGGGGCUAAACCAUGCACCGAAGCUGCGGCAGCGACGCUGAUGCGUUGUUGGGUAGGGGAGCGUUCUGUAAGCCUGCGAAGGUGUGCUGUGAGGCAUGCUGGAGGUAUCAGAAGUGCGAAUGCUGACAUAAGUAACGAUAAAGCGGGUGAAAAGCCCGCUCGCCGGAAGACCAAGGGUUCCUGUCCAACGUUAAUCGGGGCAGGGUGAGUCGACCCCUAAGGCGAGGCCGAAAGGCGUAGUCGAUGGGAAACAGGUUAAUAUUCCUGUACUUGGUGUUACUGCGAAGGGGGGACGGAGAAGGCUAUGUUGGCCGGGCGACGGUUGUCCCGGUUUAAGCGUGUAGGCUGGUUUUCCAGGCAAAUCCGGAAAAUCAAGGCUGAGGCGUGAUGACGAGGCACUGCGGUGCUGAAGCAACAAAUGCCCUGCUUCCAGGAAAAGCCUCUAAGCAUCAGGUAACAUCAAAUCGUACCCCAAACCGACACAGG